GGUUAAGUGACUAAGCGUAUACGGUGGAUGCCUUGGCAGUUGGAGGCGAUGAAGGACGUACUAACUUGCGAUAAGCCUAGUUGAGCCAGUAAGAGGCGCUUGAGACUAGGAUUUCCGAAUGGGGAAACCCACCUGCUUGCAGGUAUCAUAUGGUGAAUACAUAGCCAUAUGAGGCGAACGCGGAGAACUGAAACAUCUAAGUACCCGUAGGAAAAGAAAUCAACCGAGAUUCCGAAAGUAGCGGCGAGCGAAAUCGGAACAGCCCUUAAGCUGUUUUGUAAUUAGUGGAAGGCUCUGGAAAGUGCCACGAUACAGGGUGAUAGUCCCGUACACAAAAAUUUAUAAGCAGUGAAAUCGAGUAGGUCGGAGCACGUGAAACUUUGACUGAAUAUAGGUGGACCAUCAUCUAAGGCUAAAUACUCCCAACUGACCGAUAGUGAACCAGUACCGUGAGGGAAAGGCGAAAAGAACCCCUGUGAGGGGAGUGAAAUAGAACCUGAAACCGUAUACGUACAAGCAGUAGGAGCCUACUUGUUAGGUGACUGCGUACCUUUUGUAUAAUGGGUCAGCGACUUAUAUUCUGUAGCGAGGUUAACCGAUUAGGGUAGCCGUAGCGAAAGCGAGUCUUAACUGGGCGCUUAGUUGCAGGGUAUAGACCCGAAACCCGGUGAUCUAGCCAUGGGCAGGUUGAAGGUUGAGUAACAUCAACUGGAGGACCGAACCCACUAACGUUGAAAAGUUAGGGGAUGACCUGUGGCUAGGAGUGAAAGGCUAAUCAAACCGGGAGAUAGCUGGUUCUCCCCGAAAUCUAUUUAGGUAGAGCCUCGGACGAAUACUUACGGGGGUAGAGCACUGUUAAGGCUAGGGGGUCAUCCCGACUUACCAACCCUUUGCAAACUCCGAAUACCGUAAAGUAAUAUCCGGGAGACACACGGUGGGUGCUAACGUCCAUCGUGAAGAGGGAAACAACCCAGACCGCCAGCUAAGGUCCCAAAGUAUAUGUUAAGUGGGAAACGAUGUGGGAAGGCUAAAACAGCUAGGAGGUUGGCUUAGAAGCAGCCACCCUUUAAAGAAAGCGUAAUAGCUCACUAGUCGAGUCGGCCUGCGCGGAAGAUGUAACGGGGCUAAACAUAUCACCGAAGCUGCGGAUUUGUCUUAGGACAAGUGGUAGGGGAGCGUUCUGUAAGCGGUUGAAGGUGUACCGGGAGGUAUGCUGGACGUAUCAGAAGUGCGAAUGCUGACAUGAGUAACGAUAAUGCGGGUGAAAAACCCGCACGCCGGAAGACCAAGGGUUCCUAUCCCAUGUUAAUCAGGGUAGGGUAAGUCGACCCCUAAGGCGAGGCUGAAGAGCGUAGUCGAUGGGAAACAGAUUAAUAUUUCUGUACUUGGAAUAAUUGCGAUGGGGGGACGGAGCAGGCUAAGCAAGCAUGGCGUUGGUUGUCCAUGUGAAAGUGAGUAGGCUA
rnacentral:rRNA from 1 species